rnacentral:rRNA from 1 species
UACGAAGGGAGCUAGCGUUGUUCGGAAUCACUGGGCGUAAAGCGCACGUAGGCGGAUGUGUCAGUCAGGGGUGAAAUCCCGGAGCUCAACUUCGGAACUGCCUCUGAUACAGCACGUCUUGAGUCCGAUAGAGGUGGGUGGAAUUCCUAGUGUAGCGGUGAAAUGCGCAGAUAUCAGGAAGAACACCCGUGGCGAAGGCGGCUCUCUGGGACGUGACUGACGCUGAGACGCGAAAGCGUGGGGAGCGAACAGG